rnacentral:rRNA from 1 species
GACGAACGCUGGCGGCGUGCCUAAUACAUGCAAGUAGAACGCUGAAGGAGGAGCUUGCUCUUCUGGAUGAGUUGCGAACGGGUGAGUAACGCGUAGGUAACCUGCCUGGUAGCGGGGGAUAACUAUUGGAAACGAUAGCUAAUACCGCAUAAGAGUAGAUGUCGCAUGACAUUUGCUUAAAAGGUGCAAUUGCAUCACUACCAGAUGGACCUGCGUUGUAUUAGCUAGUUGGUGAGGUAACGGCUCACCAAGGCAACGAUACAUAGCCGACCUGAGAGGGUGAUCGGCCACACUGGGACUGAGACACGGCCCAGACUCCUACGGGAGGCAGCAGUAGGGAAUCUUCGGCAAUGGACGGAAGUCUGACCGAGCAACGCCGCGUGAGUGAAGAAGGUUUUCGGAUCGUAAAGCUCUGUUGUAAGAGAAGAACGAGUGUGAGAAGUGGAAAGUUCA